UACGGAGGAUCCAAGCGUUAUCCGGAAUCAUUGGGUUUAAAGGGUCCGUAGGCGGCCUUAUAAGUCAGUGGUGAAAUCUCACGGCUCAACCGUGAAAUGGCCAUUGAUACUGUAGGGCUUGAAUUAUUAGGAAGUAACUAGAAUAUGUAGUGUAGCGGUGAAAUGCUUAGAUAUUACAUGGAAUACCGAUUGCGAAGGCAGGUUACUACUAAUCAAUUGACGCUGAUGGACGAAAGCGUGGGUAGCGAACAGG
rnacentral:misc_RNA from 1 species